UACAGAGGAGCCAAGCGUUGUCCGGAUUGACUGGGCGUAAAGCGCACGCAGGCGGUUGCGCGCGUGGGGUGUGAAAUCUGGCCGCUUAACGGCCAGGCGCCAUCCCAUACGGCGCGACUGGAGUGAUGCAGAGGUCGAUGGAAUUGCCGGUGUAGUGGUGAAAUGCGUAGAGAUCGGGCAGGAACACCCAGGGGGAAACCAGUGGACUGGGCAGGAGCUGACGCUCAGGUGCGAAAGCGUGGGGAGCGAACCGG
rnacentral:rRNA from 1 species